rnacentral:rRNA from 1 species
UACAGAGGGAGCAAGCGUUGUUCGGAAUUACUGGGCGUAAAGGGCGCGUAGGCGGCGACCCAAGUCAGAUGUGAAAGUCCUGGGCUUAACCUGGGGACUGCAUCCGAUACUGGAUGGCUUGAAUUCGGGAGAGGGAUGCAGAAUUCCAGGUGUAGCGGUGAAAUGCGUAGAUAUCUGGAGGAAUACCGGUGGCGAAGGCGGCAUCCUGGACCGACAUUGACGCUGAGGAGCGAAAGCUAGGGGAGCAAACGGG